UACGUAGGGUGCGAGCGUUAAUCGGAAUUACUGGGCGUAAAGCGUGCGCAGGCGGUUGUGUAAGACAGAUGUGAAAUCCCCGGGCUCAACCUGGGAACUGCAUCUGUGACUGCACGGCUUGAGUGCGGCAGAGGGGGAUGGAAUUCCGCGUGUAGCAGUGAAAUGCGUAGAUAUGCGGAGGAACACCGAUGGCGAAGGCAAUCCCCUGGGCCUGCACUGACGCUCAUGCACGAAAGCGUGGGGAGCAAACAGGAUUAGAAACCCC
rnacentral:rRNA from 1 species